ACCUCUUCCAUUCCCUUUCAUCAUUCCAUGUUUCCUCUUUUCUCUUUCUGCAACAAACCCUAAUUUUCAGAUUUUGUAUUCCACAAACUCCAUCCUAAAGUUCAGAUCUGUCCAUAACCACAAAUUUUUACAUCCUUUCUCUCUUCCUCUCUCACGAAGAUUUGGAGAUGAAAAUGCUUAUUGAUGUGCGAUUCAGAUUUUCGUUUCAAAACUCCUUCUUCGACGAUGCCGCUUCGUAUGGGGUUGUCUGAUCGGAAGCUGCAUAUGUGAUUCUGCCACAGUUGAUAGAUGUUUACGGUCAGAGACAUUUGACAAGUGCGUUAGAGUGGAUGGGAAAACACUCUUUGAGUAUAUUUGUCCUUGUAUCUUCAAACUUGCCGUGAUUUUUAUUCAAGGAUUUUAUUUGAGGAAAUCUGAAAAUAACAUUGUAAGCAAAGAUAUUGUUGAUGUUGUAAGCUAUUUUAUAUUUUCAGAUGUUUCCAACAAACAAUUGAAAAUAUAUUUAGAAAAUAUGUUAUUCU